AGCUACAUAGCUCAGGGGAAGAGUGAGUUAACCCAUUCUUGAAUAAUGGCUUUGAAAUCUUGCUAACACACAAUCAAGGCGCCGGGCUCAUAACCCGGAGGUCGCUGGAUCGAAACCAGUUGUAGCUA